rnacentral:rRNA from 1 species
GACGAACGCUGGCGGCGUGCUUAACACAUGCAAGUCGAACGGUAAGGCCCUUCGGGGUACACGAGUGGCGAACGGGUGAGUAACACGUGGGUAAUCUGCCCUGCACAUCGGGAUAAGCCUGGGAAACUGGGUCUAAUACCGAAUAGGACCACAGGACACAUGUCCUGUGGUGGAAAGCUUUUGCGGUGUGGGAUGGGCCCGCGGCCUAUCAGCUUGUUGGUGGGGUGAUGGCCUACCAAGGCGACGACGGGUAGCCGGCCUGAGAGGGUGUCCGGCCACACUGGGACUGAGAUACGGCCCAGACUCCUACGGGAGGCAGCAGUGGGGAAUAUUGCACAAUGGGCGAAAGCCUGAUGCAGCGACGCCGCGUGGGGGAUGACGGCCUUCGGGUUGUAAACCUCUUUCACCAUCGACGAAGGUCCGGGUUUUCUCGGGCUGACGGUAGGUGGAGAAGAAGCACCGGCCAACUACGUGCCAGCAGCCGCGGUAAUACGUAGGGUGCGAGCGUUGUCCGGAAUUACUGGGCGUAAAGAGCUCGUAGGUGGUUUGUCGCGUUGUUCGUGAAAUCUCACGGCUUAACUGUGAGCGUGCGGGCGAUACGGGCAGACUUGAGUACUGCAGGGGAGACUGGAAUUCCUGGUGUAGCGGUGGAAUGCGCAGAUAUCAGGAGGAACACCGGUGGCGAAGGCGGGUCUCUGGGCAGUAACUGACGCUGAGGAGCGAAAGCGUGGGGAGCGAACAGGAUUAGAUACCCUGGUAGUCCACGCCGUAAACGGUGGGUACUAGGUGUGGGUUUCCUUCCUUGGGAUCCGUGCCGUAGCUAACGCAUUAAGUACCCCGCCUGGGGAGUACGGCCGCAAGGCUAAAACUCAAAGAAAUUGACGGGGGCCCGCACAAGCGGCGGAGCAUGUGGAUUAAUUCGAUGCAACGCGAAGAACCUUACCUGGGUUUGACAUGCACANGACGCCGGCAGAGAUGUCGGUUCCCUUGUGGCCUGUGUGCAGGUGGUGCAUGGCUGUCGUCAGCUCGUGUCGUGAGAUGUUGGGUUAAGUCCCGCAACGAGCGCAACCCU